AUACAAAAUGAUGUCACUUUGAAAAAGUUUGGUUCUGAUCUUGGAAGCUAAGCAGAGUUGGGCCUGGAUAGUACUUGAAUGGGAUUCCACCUAGGAAGACCAGGUGCUAUAGGCA
rnacentral:rRNA from 1 species